GAUGAACGCUGGCGGCGUGCCUAAUACAUGCAAGUCGAGCGAACAGACGAGGAGCUUGCUCCUCUGACGUUAGCGGCGGACGGGUGAGUAACACGUGGAUAACCUACCUAUAAGACUGGGAUAACUUCGGGAAACCGGAGCUAAUACCGGAUAAUAUAUUGAACCGCAUGGUUCAAUAGUGAAAGACGGUUUUGCUGUCACUUAUAAAUGGAUCCGCGCCGCAUUAGCUAGUUGGUAAGGUAACGGCUUACCAAGGCAACGAUGCGUAGCCGACCUGAGAGGGUGAUCGGCCACACUGGAACUGAGACACGGUCCAGACUCCUACGGGAGGCAGCAGUAGGGAAUCUUCCGCAAUGGGCGAAAGCCUGACGGAGCAACGCCGCGUGAGUGAUGAAGGUCUUCGGAUCGUAAGACUCUGUUAUUAGGGAAGAACAAAUGUGUAAGUAACUAUGCACGUCUUGACGGUACCUAAUCAGAAAGCCACGGCUAACUACGUG
rnacentral:rRNA from 1 species